rnacentral:rRNA from 1 species
AUCCAGCAAUGCCGCGUGUGUGAAGAAGGCCUUCGGGUUGUAAAGCACUUUUGUCCGGAAAGAAAACCUCUGGGUUAAUACCCCGGGGGGAUGACGGUACCGGAAGAAUAAGCACCGGCUAACUACGUGCCAGCAGCCGCGGUAAUACGUAGGGUGCAAGCGUUAAUCGGAAUUACUGGGCGUAAAGCGUGCGCAGGCGGUUUGCUAAGACAGAUGUGAAAUCCCCGGGCUUAACCUGGGAACUGCAUUUGUGACUGGCAGGCUAGAGUAUGGCAGAGGGGGGUAGAAUUCCACGUGUAGCAGUGAAAUGCGUAGAGAUGUGGAGGAAUACCGAUGGCGAAGGCAGCCCCCUGGGCCAAUACUGACGCUCAUGCACGAAAGCGUGGGGAGCAAACAGGAUUAGAUACCCUG